rnacentral:lncRNA from 10 species
GUCCCAUGGGGUGUUCCCUUGAUGUAGUAUUCUCCCCCUUGUCCUAUGGAUAUGGCUUCCUGAGAACCAAGCUGCAGUGAUUGUUAUCUCUCUUCUGGGUCUAGCCACCCAGCAAGCAUACCAGACUUUGGGCUGGUACUGGGAGUUGUCUGCAGAGUCCUGUGAUGUGAACCAUCUAUGGGUCUUUCAGCCAUGGAUACCAGCAUCUGUUCUGGUGGAAGUGGCAGGGUUGUAUAAUGGACUCUUUGAGGGUUCUUAGCUUUGGUGGUUUAAUGCUCUAUUUUUGUGCUGAUUGGCUUCCUGCCAGGAGGUGGCGCUUUCCAGAGAGCAUCAGCUGUGGUAGUAUGAGGAGGAACUGGCAGUGGGCAGGGCCCUAGAACUCCCAAGAAUAUAUACCCUUUGUCUUCAGUUGCCAGCGUGGGUAGGGAAGGACCAGGGCUAGGCAGUGGGCAAGCAGGGCUGAGAAUUGCCCCAGACUACCCACCUCCCAGCUGCAAAGGAAAAGGGCUCAGUUCUUCCCCCACCUGUGGAGUCUGCAUGCUGGAUUCCCGUUCUCCCCAGAGUUCUGGCCAGGAGGCUUCUUGCCUGGUUCAAAUUGUUAUGAAGUUCAGCUGGAGACUUCCUUCUCCCUGUGGCAUUUUCCCCACACCUCUAGCUGCCCUCCUGAAGGAUCCUGGUGGUGCCAGUUGUUCUGGAGCUAAAAUUCAUGAUGUGAGCCUCCGUAUGCUGCUCUGUCUGUCCAAGUCGGAGCUGCAAUCUGGUUCUGCCUCCUGUCUGCCGUGGUGAUCCCUGUUGUAGUUUCUGUGUGUCUUCUUUUGAGAAAUGCCUUGCGCCCUCCCGCUCUUCCAGGAUAACUCAGGGCCUCCAUCUCCUCCUUUGAAAACUGUAAGUGACAUCUACCUCCAGGUCAUAUUUAAUACCUUUCACAACUGGUAUGUCCCAGGCCACUGAGAAUAGAAGUGGAUUAUAAAUAAUUCAUUAGGACUUACCGGUGCCAACCAUCUGAAUAUCAGCCCUCUUGGGGUUAAAUUAAGUGAGUUAAGUGAGAAUUAAGUGAGGUAAUGUGCUUGGCACAGUAAUAUGAAGUGGCUAUAGGGUUAUCCUCAUGGUCCUGGAUGCCCAGAACGUGAAUGGUCUCACUGAGAUUACAUGAGGUGCCAGUGGGCAGCAGCCUGCGAUGAGACUCUGUGAACACACCCAAGGCCUUAAAGGAGAGAGAAUGCUGUGGCACUCUCAGAGAAGAAACCCAGGAUGCUUUGGGGAAGAGGCUGGCAGCCUGGUCUUGUUUUCUGCACGUGGAGGCCUCUGGACCAUGCACCUGACUAUCAAGCCUGUACAGAAGGCAGAGGCGAGGCAGGAGUUAAGCGGUCUGUGAAGGAGGAGACCUGCUCUAUUUCUCAGCUGUUGUUCUGUUGAAACAGGUGGAUGAGUUUGAGCCUGAAAGGUAAUAAGUAAAGGAGAAAGACUGGGAGCACUAGGCUCUGGGAUGCCCUCUGCAUGAGAAAGAUGGGCACUAAACCUGUCUGAGGGGAAGGUGUAGACAGAAAUAAACACGCCACAGCCUGGAGUCCAGAACCUUGAAAGUUUAAUGAGAACAGUUAGUGAAGCACUGCCCUGUGAUUCAUCUCCUCACAAACAACACUUAAAUCACGUAGGAUCAGGGUAGACAACGAUCAUUUCAUUUAGCUACUUAAAGGUUAUUUGGAACUCUUAAUAGCAUGUUGUCAAUAGGACCUGGCUUCUAAAUCCAGGCAGAUAAAAGUCCAUUCGUUCCCCAGAGUGGAGGACUUAGGAUCUAAGCCAACUCCAUAAGCCUGAUGCACCUGAAUACGUGAGAAAAGGCAAAAGGAGAUGGGAGUGAAGGGAGUUGAAGGGAGUUGCUGUGGUUUUGUGGGGUUUUUUUUUUUUUUACUUUUAAAAAAUUAUUUUAUUUUUUCAUGAUCGCCUCCCAAUAAGUCUUAGAAAAGUAAUAUUGAGGCCAGUGUUAUUUUAUUUUUUCAUGAUCGCCUCCCAAUAAGUCUUAGAAAAGUAAUAUUGAGGCCAGGCGCAGUGGCUCACGCCUGCAAUCCCAGCACUUUGGGAGGCCAAGGCGGGCAGAUCACUUGAGGUCAGGAGUUUGAGACCUGUUCGAGCCUGGCCAACAUGGCAAAACCUCAUCUCUACUAAAAAUACAAAAAUUAGCUGGGCAUGGUUGUGGGUGCCUGCAGACCCAGCUACUCAGGAGGCUGAGGCAGGAGGAUCACUUGAACCCAGGAGGCAGAUGUUGUAGUGAGCUGAGAUCGUGCCUGUGCACUCCAGCCUAGGUGACAGAGUGAGACUCCAUCUCAAAAAAAAAAAAAAAAAAAAGGAAGAAAAGUAAUAUUGAGAAAGGCAGUCACUGAAUAGAAGGUUGCUGUUAGAGGGAAUAUUGCUAUUGUGUUUUGUGAGCAAAGGAACAUAUUAUACAAGCAGCAAGUUAUAAGGGCUGUGCACACAAGGGCAGUUUAGUGUUAUCAGAAAAUAAAGCUUGCAGCCGAAUGUGUCUGAUGCAUAUUUAAUAAGAUCCUAACCAAAGGAUAUUAGAGCUAUAAGGGACCUUGACGAUUAUCUAAUUUAACCUUCUCAUUUGCACCAUGAGGGAAAGAAAUGCAGAGAUAACGUGUCCUGGGUUUACACAGUCUACAAGGGGUAGGGCAGGGAUUGGCAAUCGAGGACUCAGCCCCUCAACUGUCUGUCCAGGGCCAUGCACUUCGUCAUUACUGUGCUUCAGAGGCCUUGACUGUCCAUAGAGAAACAUGUCAUGAUUUUGUUGCAACUAGACAAAGCCCUCGGGGAGGCAGCUAGGGAAGGGAGAAUUGAACAGAGCCAACAUAGCUCAGGAGAUCUUAAAACGCAUGAAUCUGGAAGCCAAAGGGCAGAGUCUUCCUCUUCCCUGAGAAGAGGUUUCUAGAGGUGUCAAUUGCAACUGUAUGUUAGCUAUGGAUAAAGGAUUUGACAAAGCUCAAUGAAAGCAUAUGUGAGAAUCAAUUGGCUGCAUGGAAUUUACAAUACAGAGUAUUAUGUAGUUUACUGUUAUUUGCUUAUUGUGGGAUAUACAUCAUUUAUAGCAGCAAAAUGUAUAAUAAAUGUAUACAUGUAUAGGCAUUUUUUUCAGAGAACUAGUUGUGAAACACCAGCAUACCUCUGCUUACAGAGAUAUAAAGAUAAAUAAGAUAACACAAAUUUGAAGUGGAUGAGAAAGAAAAAGGAACGAAAAGAAGAGGAACAUAUUAGAAUAGGAAAUAACAGUAAUAGAAAAUUUCAUCUCCUUGUGUGCAGCUAUAUGACAUGGUUGGCCACAGAUUUUGUAUCUAAGCUUCCUAGCAGAUCUUGUAUAAAGAACAUUUGAUUAGGUACUCAAGCUUUAGUGUUUUGGUGAGAAAUUGUGAAGUUUCUCCUAAGCACAGUCCAGGAGGAAUUUUAUCCUGAGGAUCUGGGGAGAGAAACAGUGUGUUUUUAUAAAAGUCAGCGCUGUCCUUAGAGUAAACCAUCAUUUAGAGACACACGGGGCUGGGCAAAGUGGCUCCCACUCCUGUAAUCCCAGCACUUUGGGAGCCUGAGGUAGAUCACUUGAGACCAGGAGUUUGAGACUAGCCUGGGAAACAUAGCGAGACACUUUCUGUACAAAAAAUGAAAACAGCCAGGCAUGGUGGCACAUGCCUGUAGUCCUAGCUCCUUAAGAGGCUUAUAUAGGAGGAUCACUUGAGCCCAGGAGUUUGCAGCUGUAAUGCACUCAAACUUCAGUGGAGUGCCACUGCACUCCAGCUUGGGUAACACAAUGAGACCUGGACUCUUAGGGAAAAAAAAAAAAAAAAAAAGGCACAGGGUUGCUUCCAGUAGAGCCCCUUGUCAAAGGCUGAAAACAUUUUGCCGAAGUGUACUUGUAAGUGCCAUACAUUAAAGUACUUACGGAUGAAACAAUAGAAACUCUAGGAUUUACUUUAAAAUAUUGUUGUUUUAGUCUGUUUUGUGUUGCUAUGACAGAAACCUGAGACUAGGUAAUUUAUAAAGAACAGAAAUGUAUUCUCUCAAAUUCUGGAAGCUGGGAAGUCCAAGAUUAAGGCAUUAGCAUCUGAUUAGGGACUUCUUGCUGUGGCCUCACAUGAUGGAAGGUGGAAGGGUGAGAGAGGAGGAGGACUGUGUUCUCACGUGCAGAACAGCGGAAGAGGGAAAGACAGAGAACUCACUCCCCAAGCCCUUUCCAUAGUGGCAUUAAUCCAGUUGCAAAGGCAGAGCCCUUGCGACUUACCUCCUGAAAGGCCUUACCUCCUAACACUGUUGCAUUGGGGAGAUUAUGUUUCCGACACAUGAAUUUAGGGGGACACGUUGAGACCAUAGCUACUAUACACAACACAGACACACACACACACACACACACACACACACACACACACACGCACGCACACACCUGUUGGAAUGAAUAAUUGAAGCAAGAAGAACAAAAUAUUGAUAAACAUUGAUGCCGUUCCUCCCCUUCACCUCCACCUGAUUAUUCAUGUCGUGAAGAAACUGGUCUACUUGUCCUGUAGAAUCGCCCGUAUUGUGGAUUUGGCCAUUGCUUCUACAUGAUGAUAAGAGAAUGUUACAUUAGCAGAGACAUCCAUUAAACAGGAGAGCUGAGGCCAUCUGACGCUGAGAAUCACAAUAACAGGGACAAAGCCAAAAGGGAAGGAAAAUGGGGGCCAAAAUGGUGAGGGGAGCCAAAAAGCGUGAGAAGAAGCACGCUCAGCCUCACUGGCUCCUGACUUCUCUCUGAGUGAGUUCCGGCUUUCUGCAUCUCCCCUCCUUGCCCUGGCACCUCGGCCUUCAGGCAGGAUGGUGGGGUGAAGCCAGCGAGGGAGGAAGGUGCCGGGGCAUCUCCCCCUCUGCCUGCACUGCUGGGCUAACACUUACAAAGGAAGAUUUGAAAAAGUCUCUGAAACUGCAGGCUCAAAGAAAGGACAAAUGCACUUCCAAUCAAAUCAGUGUUGAAGGGGCAGCAUCUUUAUCAUCUGCCAUCCUUAAGAUUCAUUUCACAUUCAAAUAAAUAGAAAACUACUUGCAAAGGCAAAUUAGACCCAGAUUUACCCGCAGGUGGCAUUUCAUGCCAUAACUUGAUGGCACUUCAUCAACAUCGGCUUUUCUGGGCUCACUGAUUAGUUCAUGCUGUAUGAAAAGUGCUUUACCAUAAUUUUUCAUUAUCUUCACAAGUUAUGCCAUUUGGAAUCAUGUAAGGUGGCUAAUGUUUCAGGGAUUCUUUUAAACACUUUACAAUAAGAGAUUCAAAGGCCAACUGCUGGUGACUCAGGGACCAUUAAGACAUCUGAGACAUGACCAUGAUUAAAGAUUAGUUGCGAUAGUUAUUUGGAUAUUAUAGAGUCUUUGAAAUAUAGAAACACUCACACAAACUAAUGACGAUGAGCAUCCGGGGCUUGGUGUUUCUCUGUGUCAGCUGCAGUAGAGGUGGGCGGCUCUCAAUUCAGGCUCACUCCAUGUCAGUUUCACAAGAAAACGCCAGUGCUGCCCCCAGCUCCCCUAGCUGCUAGGGCAGGUAUUUCUAUUUUCCAUGCAGCACAGAAGAGGGGGCCUUACCACAGACACCAGGAAGAAUAAUGUCAAACCCAUAGCAAUCCAAACCUGGGAGAAGCUUGAAAACUGAGGAUUGGUCUUGUCAAUCCUACUGGCGGGUCUUGCCAGUUUUAAAAAAUGAAAUACAACAGAAUGCAACAGAAUGGGAAACAAUCAGAGCACAUUAAAAGAAUAAGUACUACUUUGUGAUACUUUUCAGUUAUGUAUGUGGGUAUCAGUGUGUACUGAGGGUUGAUGAGAAAUGUAUUUUUAAAAUGUGAGUCAAGUUAAAAGACCUCAAAGAAUGAUGCUCUAAGAAAUUAUAUACUGGAGACAGUCACGAUUAUAUAUUGGAUGACGAAAAACAAAAUAAAAAUUAAAAAUUAGAAAUUUAUAAUUUACCCCUGGAAUAAGCCACACUUGUAAGAAGUGAUUACUUGGAAACAUCACAGUGGUCUUGAAUCAAUGCUUUUUUCCCCCUGCUGCUCAUGAGCUGUAGAAUCAAUGCUUAAACAUUUCCUUAACAACAAGUUGAAAAUGAAACAAACCUGUUAUCUUUUCUGUCUUACCUCCCUGAGGUAUAUAUAAGUUUGAUGAAUUUCUCUGCUCAGGUAAUAGGAUUUAGCAUCCAUUCAUGUAUUCAUUCACUCAAC